UACGGAGGGGGCUAGCGUUGUUCGGAAUUACUGGGCGUAAAGCGCGCGUAGGCGGCUUUGUAAGUUAGAGGUGAAAGCCCGGAGCUCAACUCCGGAAUUGCCUUUAAAACUGCAUCGCUAGAAUCAUGGAGAGGUUAGUGGAAUUCCGAGUGUAGAGGUGAAAUUCGUAGAUAUUCGGAAGAACACCAGUGGCGAAGGCGACUAACUGGACAUGUAUUGACGCUGAGGUGCGAAAGCGUGGGGAGCAAACAGG
rnacentral:rRNA from 1 species